UACGUAGGGAGCAAGCGUUGUCCGGAAUCAUUGGGCGUAAAGCGCGCGUAGGUGGCCCCAUAAGUCCGCUGUGAAAGUCAAAGGCUCAACCUUUGAAAGCCGGUGGAUACUGUGGGACUAGAGUACGGAAGAGGCGAGUGGAAUUCCUGGUGUAGCGGUGGAAUGCGCAGAUAUCAGGAGGAACACCAAUAGAGAAGGCAGCUCGCUGGGACGUUACUGACACUGAGGCGCGAAAGCGUGGGGAGCGAACAGG
rnacentral:rRNA from 1 species